rnacentral:rRNA from 1 species
GAUGAACGCUAGCGGCAGGCUUAAUACAUGCAAGUCGAGGGGCAUCAAGGUACACGAAAGUGUAUUGUUGGCGACCGGCGGACGGGUGAGUAAUAGGUAGGUAACCUACCUCAUACUGAGGCAUAGCUGGGAGAAAUUCCAGGUAAUUCCUCAUGAGGUUAUAUGACACAUGUGAUAUAAUCAAAGGUAUCGCAAGGUACUGGUAUGAGAUGGGCUUACUGACCAUUAGCUAGUUGGUGAGAUAAGAGCUCACCAAGGCGAAGAUGGUUAGGGGUUUUGAGAGAGAGAUCCCCCACAUUGGAACUGAGAUACGGUCCAGACUCCUACGGGAGGCAGCAGUAGGGAAUAUUGGGCAAUGGGCGGAAGCCUGACCCAGCCAUGCCGCGUGAAGGAAGACGGCCUUAUGGGUUGUAAACUUCUUUACUAUGCGACUAACUAGAUUUACGGGAUAAUUCUAUAGAAUGUAGCAUAGCAAAAGCAACCGG